UUCAAACUUAUCAAAUUUAUUGCACUCCCUUUUUGAAGAACGAAAGAAAAUUAUAGAAAAUAUUGUUGUUUAAAAAAAAAAAAAAAAAAAAAAAUAGAAGAAAAAUAUAUAUUAGAUAUAUAUAUAUAUAUAUAAAUUAAAAUUGAUCAGGAGUUGUCUCCCAUAGACCUAGAACUAUCCUAAAGAUUUAUGUAAUUUCUCCAGGUCACAGUGGCACCCAUAACAAC
rnacentral:lncRNA from 1 species